AAAAAGUCAAACCCUGUGUUUCCGUGUCCAACUUUGACUGUCCGUCUUAUAUAAAAUUUUUUUAUAAUUCGUAUUUUUAUUAUUGUUAGAUGAUAAUACAUGAUUAAUAUUUUAUGCGUGACUUGUCUUUUUAAUUUUUUUAUAAUUUUUUUAAAUAAGACAGACGGUCAAAUGUUGGACACGGAAUUUAAGG
rfam:Oryza sativa (indica cultivar-group) chromosome 1, whole genome shotgun sequence.